ensembl:lncRNA
AUUCCUGCUUGGCGUUAGCUCCUGGCCCGGCUAAACGGAAGUGAUGUCACCUUGGCGCUGAGAGGAAGUGCAGACGACGCAUGUAGUUUGACUGACGAACGGCGGAAAAAUAAAUAUGGAAAACGUGGAGGAGUUAAGGAGAGUGUUCAACAAGAACUUUUAGCAAUUGCUCAGUAUGUGGAAGAAAAUGUUCAGCCGGACUACAUUCUGAGGAUGGUAGAAGAUGUCAGCAAAAGUCAUGGGCAAAUAUCUGCUCUGACCGAUACAGACAUUGAUCCGGUUGUGUGGCACACUCUUGAAGAGGUACGCAUGCAACUAAGUCUUGCAGCCAGGCCAUCAGACCUGGGCGACGUCCACUGGAAGUCCAGGUGGACAUAAUGGAGUCCUACAUUCUUGCAGGAUUAUCAGCUGUCAAAAUAGCUGAACUGUUUGGAGUGUCAGUUAGAACCAUAAGAAGGAGAAUGGCAUCCCAUGGCUUGAGGUUGUCAGAUUUGUAUACUCCACUGACUGAUGACGAAUUUGAUAGCAUUGUAAUGGAGAUUCACAGACAGAGCAGAGCAGGGAUUAGGAUGAUCCAUGGUUUUCUGAAAUCACAGAGUGUGCAUAUGCAGAAUGCCGAAUCGUGAUCCAUGCAGGAGUGGAUGGAUUUAGCAGGCUCAUAGUUUAUAUAGGAGCAGCUACAAACAACAAAUCCACCACUGUUCUGGACAGUUUCAGGUCAGCUGUUGCUCAGUAUGGCUUACCAUCUCGUGUAAGAUCUGAUAAGGUAAAGUGAAAUAUUGCAUUGACAAAAAUAAAACGUCCUGCAUUGAGACAACAAAAGUACUAAAGAACAGAACUUUUGAAAAACAGUAUUCCUUUUUUUCUUUUUGCCUAUUUAUAUAUUAAUUUCCUGAAGGGUGGGGAAAAUGUUGCUGUGGCCCAUUACAUGGUGAGUCAGAGAGGAACAGGCCGACAUUCCCACAUCACUGGACGCAGUGUACAUAAUCAAAGAUGAUACAUGGUUGUGUAACAAAUUAGGAUCAUGAAUAUCAGAUAUAUUUUUAAAAUACUGAAAAGGAAAUUCCUGUUAUAUACAUGCAAUUGCAAAUUUGGACUAAUUGUUUUUGUGUUUUUUUUAAUCUACAGAAUUGAAAGAUUAUGGAGAGACGUGUAUGGAAAUGUCCUCGACUUGUUCCAUACACUAUUUCUCAAUUUGGAAUUGGAAGGGUUUCUAAACCCUGACAAUGAACUGGAGUUAUUCGCUCUCCACUGGAUCUACGUCCCACAGCUGCAGCAGCAUCUUCAGGCAUUCAAGGAAGCCUGGAAUCACCAUAGUUUGAGGACAGAGAGAGGGCAAUCCCCCAUGCAACUGUGGCUUAGUCAGCCACGGGAGGGAAAUGCUGCUGAUCCAGUUGAGGUUGCUGCUGAUUAUGGAAUAGACUGGACAGGACCUCACACCCCAUACCCAGAGGGUGUCACUGUACCUGAUGCACAACUACCCCAGCAGCUUACCCAAGCUGAAGUUACGUCAUUGUCUGAUCCGGCAGUCCCUUUUUCUGCUGCACUACGGGCGUACAUGGAUACAGUGUAUAUUCUUAAGGACAUUUUUCAACAAACCUAGGCCUAUCACAACUCACCUUAACAUGAUCAGAAUGAAACCGUUUGAAAUGGUCGAACAAGACUUGAAAGAAUGCUGCAAAUUUUUGGUGCAUAAUUUUAUGACCAGUUGUGAAUUUCAAAUAAAUGCCUGUGAAAACAAAAAUGUAAAAAAACAAGACACAACAAAGGGAUACAAAACUGCUUUUAUUGCAUGCUGAAUAAUUUGACAGCUUUUAAAAGCAUUAAAACAAUGUGCAAAUAAAAAUUUUUUUUAAUAGAACUGAUAAUUCUUUUCUUUAACUUCCACACAUUUAUAUUACAACUGUUUCCCAAACACAGUCUUCUCCAAGUGUGGAAACAUUUUGUUGUCACAGUUCAGAAAUGCACAAACCUGAACCAUAGUU